UAAUUUGCAGAACGGAAUCGAAACCCAACCAUACAUUUCGCCAGAAUCAGAUCAGACUAGUGAACCCAGAUCAGAGCCAGAACCCACAGCAGAUGCAAUUCCCAGUUCUGAAUUACAACAAGAACGCGAAUCGGAAUCAGUUAAUAAUGGAGUAGCGGAUUCGGAGCCGGAGUCUCUAAGGAAACAGUUAUCGGAGUCCAUCCAUUUACAGGUAGUGACG
rnacentral:misc_RNA from 1 species